AGCGAACGCUGGCGGCAGGCUUAACACAUGCAAGUCGAGCGGGCAUAGCAAUAUGUCAGCGGCAGACGGGUGAGUAACGCGUGGGAACGUACCUUUUGGUUCGGAACAACUGAGGGAAACUUCAGCUAAUACCGGAUAAGCCCUUACGGGGAAAGAUUUAUCGCCGAAAGAUCGGCCCGCGUCUGAUUAGCUAGUUGGUGAGGUAAUGGCUCACCGAGGCGACGAUCAGUAGCUGGUCUGAGAGGAUGAUCAGCCACAUUGGGACUGAGACACGGCCCAAACUCCUACGGGAGGCAGCAGUGGGGAAUAUUGGACAAUGGGCGCAAGCCUGAUCCAGCCAUGCCGCGUGAGUGAUGAAGGCCCUAGGGUUGUAAAGCUCUUUUGUGCGGGAAGAUAAUGACAGUACCGCAAGAAUAAGCCCCGGCUAACUUCGUGCCAGCCGCCGCCGUAACAC
rnacentral:rRNA from 1 species